AUUGAACGCUGGCGGCAGGCCUAACACAUGCAAGUCGAACGGUAACAGGAAGAAGCUUGCUUCUUUGCUGACGAGUGGCGGACGGGUGAGUAAUGUCUGGGAAACUGCCUGAUGGAGGGGGAUAACUACUGGAAACGGUAGCUAAUACCGCAUAACGUCGCAAGACCAAAGAGGGGGACCUUCGGGCCUCUUGCCAUCGGAUGUGCCCAGAUGGGAUUAGCUAGUAGGUGGGGUAACGGCUCACCUAGGCGACGAUCCCUAGCUGGUCUGAGAGGAUGACCAGCCACACUGGAACUGAGACACGGUCCAGACUCCUACGGGAGGCAGCAGUGGGGUAUAUUGCACAAUGGGCGCAAGCCUGAUGCAGCCAUGCCGCGUGUAUGAAGAAGGCCUUCGGGUUGUAAAGUACUUUCAGCGGGGAGGAAGGGAGUAAAGUUAAUACCUUUGCUCUUUGCCGUUUUCCCGCAGCAGAAGCACCGGCCAACCCCCUUCCACCCGCCCCCGGUAAGCUCGAGGGUUCACCGCUUAUCCUACACCUAUGUGUUUCAGCUUCUUGGGAGUAGUUUGUUCUUUUUGAUUUGGUAUUUUCUGGGGG
rnacentral:rRNA from 1 species